rnacentral:rRNA from 1 species
AGUAACCUGCCUUGGAGUGGGGGAAGUAAACACAGUGAAAAUUGUGCUAAUACCGCAUAAUGCAUUUGGAUCGCAUGGUUCUGAAUGCCAAAGAUUUAUCGCUCUGAGAUGGACUCGCGUCUGAUUAGCUAGUUGGCGGGGCAACGGCCCACCAAGGCGACGAUCAGUAGCCGGACUGAGAGGUUGGCCGGCCACAUUGGGACUGAGACACGGCCCAG